rnacentral:rRNA from 1 species
GAUGAACGCUGGCGGCGUGCCUAACACAUUCAAGUCGAACGGUGACGGGGGCUUCGGUCCCCUGAUCAGUGGCGGACGGGUGAGUAACGCGUGAGCAACCUGCCUUUCAGUGGGGGAUAACACAGGGAAACUUGUGCUAAUACCGCAUGAUGUGUCGAGACCGCAUGGUCAUGAUACCAAAGCUGAGGCGCUGAAAGAUGGACUCGCGUCUGAUUAGAUAGUUGGUGAGGUAACGGCUCACCAAGUCGACGAUCAGUAGCCGGACUGAGAGGUUGAACGGCCACAUUGGGACUGAGACACGGCCCAGACUCCUACGGGAGGCAGCAGUGGGGAAUAUUGCACAAUGGGCGAAAGCCUGAUGCAGCAACGCCGCGUGAGGGAAGACGGUUUUCGGAUUGUAAACCUCUGUCUUUGGUGAAGAUAAUGACGGUAGCCAAGGAGGAAGCCACGGCUAACUACGCG